GACUUCUCGCUUUCACUUUCAGCUGUUGUCAGCUAUAUAAAGGAGCAGCGGUCCUGAUCGAGACACACUCCACCCGCGACGCUCCACCAAAGCCCUGCUGAGAUUUCGUGAGAACUUUUGACACCCAAAAAAUGUCUGACCGGCAAUUGAGCUACCAUGAACAUGAAGAUGAAGAAGAAUAUGAUGAAGAAUGUGACGUACCUCCUGAGGAACAGUCAAGGACAGGAAGACACAAGAUAACAUGGAAAAACAAAAAGGGUGGUACAAAAAAGCCUAGGGUGCAACUUGCCUCAGUUAAUGUUGAUGUGAUCGACACGAUUAAUAUGAUUGACACAUUUGACAGACCAGGAGGUGCCUUUGCAGAAAGCAACUAUGCUCGAAGUGGAACAUAUGCGUCAGCUUUUGAAAAUGAACCAGGAAAGAGGAUUCCCAAGAUCGGAGCUUAUGCAGAAGCAGGAGUUGGACGAGCUCGUGCUGAAUACAGAGUACUCGAGGCUGAAGCCAAAGGUCCCAACGCCUCAGCUGGAGCUGAAGCCAGUGUGAUUGGAGUCGGAGCAAUGGCUCGAGCUGAAAUUGCCAGCGCAUCGGCUAAAGCCGGUCCAGUUGGUGUGAAACUGGGACUUGGAGUUGAUACGGGUGCAUCUAUUGGUCUGGGAGGGGUGGAGGCCAAAGUACUGGGAACUGGAUUCUCAAUUGGUCCAAAAACCAGUGUAUCUCUUCUGGGUUCAGAAGUAAAAGUGUCAUGUGCAAUCAUGUAGUCAUACAGGUAUUAAUUACUUUUGAAUAUUAUAUGUGAAACCAUGAAGACAAAAACCUGAGUUUUUUUAUACUUUAACAAUAUAGUGACAUGUUUUAUUUUAUAAUUCUACAACUGCUGAGACUUGUUUUCAUUUGAAAAUAAUCAUAUCUGGUUAUGUGUUUUGCUUUUUCUCAUCAGUACUAUCAUUCCCAGUGGAUAAGAUUGUUGGGUGAAACCUGAAAAAACAUUUUUUACCCAUUUUUAAUACAGUAUCAGUAUUGUUGUUGAGUUAUAAAUAUGCAGUUAUACUUCAACAAUAUGGAAACAUAUGUUUUAUUUUAUAUGUUAUAAUCCUACAACUGUUGAGACUUUUGUUUUCAUUUAAGAAUAAAUGUUUGUGUUUGGUUCUGCAGGUGUGUGUAUUGCUUUUCUUUAUACUGUCAUUUCCUGUGAAUAUCAUAUUUUUUUACCGUCAUAUUUUUUUCCAUUUAUGCAAUAAACUGAAAACAAAAAAUAA